rnacentral:rRNA from 1 species
UGAGGGAUGACGGCCUUCGGGUUGUAAACCUCUUUUGGCAAGGAAGAAGCCUUCGGGUGACGGUACUUGCAGAAAAAGCGCCGGCUAACUACGUGCCAGCAGCCGCGGUAAUACGUAGGGCGCAAGCGUUAUCCGGAAUUAUUGGGCGUAAAGAGCUCGUAGGCGGUUUGUCGCGUCUGCUGUGAAAUCCCGAGGCUCAACCUCGGGCCUGCAGUGGGUACGGGCAGACUAGAGUGCGGUAGGGGAGAUUGGAAUUCCUGGUGUAGCGGUGGAAUGCGCAGAUAUCAGGAGGAACACCGAUGGCGAAGGCAGAUCUCUGGGCCGUAACUGACGCUGAGGAGCGAAAGGGUGGGGAGCAAACAGGCUUAGAUACCCUGGUAGUCCACCCCGUAAACGUUGGGAACUAGUUGUGGGGUCCUUUCCACGGAUUCCGUGACGCAGCUAACGCAUUAAGUUCCCCGCCUGGGGAGUACGGCCGCAAGGCUAAAACUCAAAGGAAUUGACGGGGACCCGCACAAGCGGCGGAGCAUGCGGAUUAAUUCGAUGCAACGCGAAGAACCUUACCAAGGCUUGACAUACACCGGAACGCCCUAGAAAUAGGGAACUCUUUGGACACUGGUGUACAGGUGGUGCAUGGUUGUCGUCAGCUCGUGUCGUGAGAUGUUGGGUUAAGUCCCGCAACGAGCGCAACCCUCGUUCUAUGUUGCCAGCACGUUAUGGUGGGAACUCAUGGGAUACUGCCGGGGUCAACUCGGAGGAAGGUGGGGAUGACGUCAAAUCAUCAUGCCCCUUAUGUCUUGGGCUUCACGCAUGCUACAAUGGCCGGUACAAAGGGCUGCAAUACCGUGAGGUGGAGCGAAUCCCAAAAAGCCGGUCCCAGUUCGGAUUGAGGUCUGCAACUCGACCUCAUGAAGUCGGAGUCGCUAGUAAUCGCAGAUCAGCAACGCUGCGGUGAAUACGUUCCCGGGUCUUGUACACACCGCCC